ACACUCACCAAUAUAGAAACUAGAAUGGAGUGCUGAUGGAAAAUCAAAAGAUUUGCUGUAUUUUAACAGGGUCACACAGACAUCCUAGUUGGAGUCAAAGCAGAAAUGGGAGUACCAAAGUUGGAUAGACCAAAUGAAGGCUUCCUGGAAUUCUUUGUUGACUGAGACCAGUGUUCAAAUUCUUGUUCAGUCUUCAAACCCAGUGAGUAACCUUGGGCAAGUCU
rnacentral:lncRNA from 11 species